rnacentral:rRNA from 1 species
CUCGAUGAGUAGGGCGGGACACGUGGUAUCCUGUCUGAAUAUGGGGGGACCAUCCUCCAAGGCUAAAUACUCCUGACUGACCGAUAGUGAACCAGUACCGUGAGGGAAAGGCGAAAAGAACCCCGGCGAGGGGAGUGAAAAAGAACCUGAAACCGUGUACGUACAAGCAGUGGGAGCACCCUUUGGGGUGUGACUGCGUACCUUUUGUAUAAUGGGUCAGCGACUUAUAUUCUGUAGCAAGGUUAACCGUAUAGGGGAGCCGCAGGGAAACCGAGUCUUAACCGGGCGUUAAGUUGCAGGGUAUAGACCCGAAACCCGGUGAUCUAGCCAUGGGCAGGUUGAAGGUUGGGUAACACUAACUGGAGGACCGAACCGACUAAUGUUGAAAAAUUAGCGGAUGACCUGUGGCUGGGGGUGAAAGGCCAAUCAAACCGGGAGAUAGCUGGUUCUCCCCGAAAGCUAUUUAGGUAGCGCCUCGUGAAUUCAUCUCCGGGGGUAGAGCACUGUUUCGGCUAGGGGGCCAUCCCGGCUUACCAACCCGAUGCAAACUGCGAAUACCGGAGAAUGUUAUCACGGGAGACACACGGCGGGUGCUAACGUCCGUCGUGAAGAGGGAAACAACCCAGACCGCCAGCUAAGGUCCCAAAGUCAUGGUUAAGUGGGAAACGAUGUGGGAAGGCCCAGACAGCCAGGAUGUUGGCUUAGAAGCAGCCAUCAUUUAAAGAAAGCGUAAUAGCUCACUGGUCGAGUCGGCCUGCGCGGAAGAUGUAACGGGGCUAAACCAUGCACCGAAGCUGCGGCAGCGACGCUGAUGCGUUGUUGGGUAGGGGAGCGUUCUGUAAGCCUGUGAAGGUGGCCUGUGAGGGUUGCUGGAGGUAUCAGAAGUGCGAAUGCUGACAUAAGUAACGAUAAAGCGGGUGAAAAGCCCGCUCGCCGGAAGACCAAGGGUUCCUGUCCAACGUUAAUCGGGGCAGGGUGAGUCGACCCCUAAGGCGAGGCCGAAAGGCGUAGUCGAUGGGAAACGGGUUAAUAUUCCCGUACUUGGUGUUACUGCGAAGGGGGGACGGAGAAGGCUAUGUUGGCCGGGCGACGGUUGUCCCGGUUUAAGCGUGUAGGUGUGUGUUCCAGGUAAAUCCGGUUCACUUUAACACUGAGGCGUGAUGACGAGGCACUACGGUGCUGAAGCAACAAAUGCCCUGCUUCCAGGAAAAGCCUCUAAGCAUCAGGUAACAUCAAAUCGUACCCCAAACCGACACAGGUGGUCAGGUAGAGAAUACCAAGGCGCUUGAGAGAACUCGGGUGAAGGAACUAGGCAAAAUGGUGCCGUAACUUCGGGAGAAGGCACGCUGACAUGUAGGUGAAGUGAUUUACUCAUGGAGCUGAAGUCAGUCGAAGAUACCAGCUGGCUGCAACUGUUUAUUAAAAACACAGCACUGUGCAAACACGAAAGUGGACGUAUACGGUGUGACGCCUGCCCGGUGCCGGAAGGUUAAUUGAUGGGGUCAGCGCAAGCGAAGCUCCUGAUCGAAGCCCCGGUAAACGGCGGCCGUAACUAUAACGGUCCUAAGGUAGCGAAAUUCCUUGUCGGGUAAGUUCCGACCUGCACGAAUGGCGUAAUGAUGGCCAGGCUGUCUCCACCCGAGACUCAGUGAAAUUGAACUCGCUGUGAAGAUGCAGUGUACCCGCGGCAAGACGGAAAGACCCCGUGAACCUUUACUAUAGCUUGACACUGAACAUUGAGCCUUGAUGUGUAGGAUAGGUGGGAGGCUUUGAAGUGUGGACGCCAGUCUGCAUGGAGCCGACCUUGAAAUACCACCCUUUAAUGUUUGAUGUUCUAACGUGGACCCGUAAUCCGGGUUGCGGACAGUGUCUGGUGGGUAGUUUGACUGGGGCGGUCUCCUCCUAAAGAGUAACGGAGGAGCACGAAGGUUGGCUAAUCCUGGUCGGACAUCAGGAGGUUAGUGCAAUGGCAUAAGCCAGCUUGACUGCGAGCGUGACGGCGCGAGCAGGUGCGAAAGCAGGUCAUAGUGAUCCGGUGGUUCUGAAUGGAAGGGCCAUCGCUCAACGGAUAAAAGGUACUCCGGGGAUAACAGGCUGAUACCGCCCAAGAGUUCAUAUCGACGGCGGUGUUUGGCACCUCGAUGUCGGCUCAUCACAUCCUGGGGCUGAAGUAGGUCCCAAGGGUAUGGCUGUUCGCCAUUUAAAGUGGUACGCGAGCUGGGUUUAGAACGUCGUGAGACAGUUCGGUCCCUAUCUGCCGUGGGCGCUGGAGAACUGAGGGGGGCUGCUCCUAGUACGAGAGGACCGGAGUGGACGCAUCACUGGUGUUCGGGUUGUCAUGCCAAUGGCACUGCCCGGUAGCUAAAUGCGGAAGAGAUAAGUGCUGAAAGCAUCUAAGCACGAAACUUGCCCCGA